UACAGAGGGUGCUAGUGUUGUUCGGAUUUACUGGGCGUAAAGGGAGUGUAGGCGGAAAUCUAAGUCAGUGGUGAAAUGUCAGGGCUUAACCCUGAAUGUGCCGUUGAUACUGGAUUUCUUGAGUAUGGAAGAGGGUGAUGGAAUUCCUGGUGUAGCGGUGGAAUGCGUAGAUAUCAGGAGGAACCCCGAUAGCGAAGGCAGUCACCUGGGACAAUACUGACGCUGAAACUCGAAAGCAUGGGGAGCAAACAGG
rnacentral:rRNA from 1 species